GUCACUUUGGCGGAGUGGUUAACGCGCUGCCCUGCUAACUUUGCUUAGCAGCUCUAGGCAGUUCCUUCGGGAGCGUAGGUUCGAAUCCUACAGGUGACG
rnacentral:tRNA from 1 species